UAGGGAAUCUUCGGCAAUGGACGGAAGUCUGACCGAGCAACGCCGCGUGAGUGAAGAAGGUUUUCGGAUCGUAAAGCUCUGUUGUAAGAGAAGAACGAGUGUGAGAGUGGAAAGUUCACACUGUGACGGUAUCUUACCAGAAAGGGACGGCUAACUACGUGCCAGCAGCCGCGGUAAUACGUAGGUCCCGAGCGUUGUCCGGAUUUAUUGGGCGUAAAGCGAGCGCAGGCGGUUAGAUAAGUCUGAAGUUAAAGGCUGUGGCUUAACCAUAGUACGCUUUGGAAACUGUUUAACUUGAGUGCAAGAGGGGAGAGUGGAAUUCCAUGUGUAGCGGUGAAAUGCGUAGAUAUAUGGAGGAACACCGGUGGCGAAAGCGGCUCUCUGGCUUGUAACUGACGCUGAGGCUCGAAAGCGUGGGGAGCAAACAGGAUUAGAUACCCUGGUAGUCCACGCCGUAAACGAUGAGUGCUAGGUGUUAGACCCUUUCCGGGGUUUAGUGCCGCAGCUAACGCAUUAAGCACUCCGCCUGGGGAGUACGACCGCAAGGGU
rnacentral:rRNA from 1 species